rnacentral:rRNA from 1 species
ACCAGACUCCUACGGGAGGCAGCAGUAGGGAAUAUUGCUCAAUGGGGGAAACCCUGAAGCAGCGACGCCGCGUGGAGGAUGAAGGAUUUCGGAUUGUAAACUUCUAUCGUUAGAGAAGAUAAUGACGGUAUCUAACGAAUAAGCACCGGCUAACUACGUGCCAGCAGCCGCGGUAAUACGGAGGGGGCAAGCGUUACCCGGAAUCACUGGGCGUAAAGAGCGCGUAGGCGGGAUAGCAAGUCAGAUGUGAAAUCCUGGGGCUUAACCAUAGAACUGCAUUUGAAACUGUUAUUCUAGAGUAUGGGAGAGGUAGGUGGAAUUCUUGGUGUAGGGGUAAAAUCCGUAGAGAUCAGGAGGAAUACUCAUUGCGAAGGCGGCCUGCUAGAACAUAACUGACGCUGAGGCGCGAAAGCGUGGGGAGCAAACAGGAUUAGAUACCCCGGUA